rnacentral:rRNA from 1 species
UACGUAGGGUGCAAGCGUUGUCCGGAAUUAUUGGGCGUAAAGAGCUCGUAGGCGGUUUGUCGCGUCUGCUGUGAAAACGCGAGGCUCAACCUCGCGCCUGCAGUGGGUACGGGCAGACUAGAGUGUGGUAGGGGAGAUUGGAAUUCCUGGUGUAGCGGUGGAAUGCGCAGAUAUCAGGAGGAACACCGAUGGCGAAGGCAGAUCUCUGGGCCAUUACUGACGUGAGGAGCGAAAGCGUGGGGAGCGAACAGG